rnacentral:misc_RNA from 1 species
GGGAAUUUGCAAGCCAAUGGUUUCUUCGCGGUCAGAAGCAUUUACUGAAGAACAUUUGUAGAAGAAGACACAGUAGAAAUUCAUAUUUUCAAACAAAAUGCGAAGACGAUGAUGCAGAAUUAGCAAUGGAAAUUUCCAAGCUCAAAGAAGAACAGAAAGCUUUAGAAAUUGAAGUUGAAUCAAUGAACAAACGAAUCGAAGCCACCGAAAAACGCCCCCAACAAAUGAUGGCGUUUCUC